rnacentral:rRNA from 1 species
CACGUAGGGGGCGAGCGUUGUCCGGAAUCAUUGGGCGUAAAGAGCUCGUAGGCGGCUCGGUAAGUCGGGUGUGAAACCCCCAGGCUCAACCUGGGGGACGCCACCCGAUACUGCUGUGGCUAGAGUCCAGUAGGGGAGUGUGGAAUUCCCGGUGUAGCGGUGAAAUGCGCAGAUAUCGGGAGGAACACCAGCGGCGAAGGCGGCACUCUGGGCUGGAACUGACGCUGAGGAGCGAAAGCGUGGGUAGCAAACAGG